rnacentral:rRNA from 1 species
UGGUCAAGUUAUUAAGGGUGCAGGGCGGAUGCCUUGGCACUAGGAGCCGAUGAAGGACGUGAUAAGCUGCGAUAAGCUUCGGGGAGUUGCACGUAAACUUUGAUCCGAAGAUUUCCGAAUGAGGAAACUCACUUAGAGUAAUGUCUAAGUAUCAUUAAGUGAAUACAUAGCUUAAUGAGGGGAACUCAGGGAACUGAAACAUCUAAGUACCUGAAGGAAGAGAAAGAAAUUCGAUUCCGUAAGUAGCGGCGAGCGAACGCGGAUUAGCCCAAACCAAUAAAGUUUUCUUUAUUGGGGUUGUGGACAUAUCAUAACGAAGAGGUAUCGUAAUUGAAGAGGUUUGGAAAGACCCACCACAGAAGGUAAUAGUCCUGUAUGUUAAACGAGAAGACUUUAGAUAUGAUCCAGAGUACCACGGGACACGUGAAACCCUGUGGGAAGCAGGAGGGACCACCCUCCAAGGCUAAAUACUACCUAGUGACCGAUAGCGUAUAGUACCGUGAGGGAAAGGUGAAAAGAACCCCGGGAGGGGAGUGAAAUAGAACCUGAAACCCUGCACUUACAAGCUGUGGAAGCACAUUUCUUGUGUGACCGCGUACUUUUUGUAGAACGGGCCAACGAGUUACGUUAAGUAGCAAGGUUAAGCACUUAAGGUGCGGAGCCGUAGCGAAAGCGAGUUUUAACUGAGCGUUCAGUUACUUGACGUAGACCCGAAACCGGGCGACCUACCCAUGAGCAGGAUGAAGCGAAAGUAAAAUUUCGUGGAGGUCCGAACCCACGAGCGUUGAAAAGCUCGGGGAUGACUUGUGGGUAGCGGUGAAAUUCCAAUCGAGCCCGGAGAUAGCUGGUUCUCCCCGAAAUAGCUUUAGGGCUAGCCUCAAGGUGAGAGAUACGGAGGUAGAGCACUGAAUGUCCUAGGGGGUAUUGCACCUACCGAAGACUAUCAAACUCCGAAUGCCGUCAUCUUAUACUUGGGAGUCAGACUGUGGGUGAUAAGAUUCAUAGUCGAAAGGGCAACAGCCCAGAUCGUCAGCUAAGGUCCCUAAAUGUAAGUUAAGUGGUAAAGGAUGUGGGAUUGCACAGACAACCAGGAUGUUGGCUUAGAAGCAGCCACUCAUUCAAAGAGUGCGUAAUAGCUCACUGGUCGAGUGAUCCUGCGCCGAAGAUUUCCGGGGCUAAAACUUACUACCGAAGCUACGGCAUCAGUAAUGAUGGGUAGGGGAGCUUCCCAUACGGGUUGAAGCAUGACCGUAAGGACAUGUGGACAGUAUGGGAGUGAGAAUGUUGGCAUGAGUAGCGAGAUGUGGGUGAGAAUCCCACAGGCCGUAAACCCAAGGUUUCCAGGGGAAGGUUCGUCCGCCCUGGGUUAGUCGGGACCUAAGCUGAGGCCGAAAGGCGUAGGUGAUGGACAACAGGUUGAUAUUCCUGUACUACCGAUAACCGUUUGAGAGAUGGGAUGACACAGUAGGAUAAGCUAAGCACACUGUUGGUUAUGUGUGCCCAAGCAUUGAGGCAGUCAAAGUAGGUAAAUCCGCUUUGAUAAUGCUGGGAUGUGAUGGGGAGCGAAAUUUAGUAGCGAAGUAGCUGAUUUCACACUGUCAAGAAAAGUCUCUAUCGAGGUUAAAGGUACCCGUACCGCAAACCGACACAGGUGGGUGAGGAGAGUAUCCUAAGGCCAGCGAGAGAACUGUUGUUAAGGAACUCGGCAAAAUGACCCCGUAACUUAGGGAUAAGGGGUGCCACCAUCAGGUGGCCGCAGAGAAUAGGCCCAAGCGACUGUUUACCAAAAACAUAGGUUUCUGCUAAGUCGCAAGACGAUGUAUAGGAGCUGACGCCUGCCCGGUGCUGGAAGGUUAAGGGGAUCUGUUAGAGCAAUCGAAGCAGUGAACUUAAGCCCCAGUAAACGGCGGCCGUAACUAUAACGGUCCUAAGGUAGCGAAAUUCCUUGUCGGGUAAGUUCCGACCCGCACGAAAGGCGUAACGAUUUGGGCACUGUCUCAACAACAGACUCGGUGAAAUUGUAAUUCCGGUGAAGAUGCCGGAUACCUGCGACAGGACGGAAAGACCCCAUGGAGCUUUACUGUAGCUUGACAUUGGGUCUUGGUACUACAUGUACAGGAUAGGUGGGAGGCUUUGAAACCAGGACGCCAGUUUUGGCGGAGCCAUCCUUGGGAUACCACCCUUGUAGUACUGGGACUCUAACCAUAGGCCAUGAAUCUGGUCUUGGGACACUGUCAGGUGGGCAGUUUGACUGGGGCGGUCGCCUCCCAAAAGGUAACGGAGGCGCUCAAAGGUUCUCUCAGUACGGUCGGAAAUCGUACGUAGAGUGUAAAGGCAAAAGAGAGCUUGAUUGCAAGACAUACAGGUCGAGCAAGGAUGAAAAUCGGACUUAGUGAUCCGGUGGUUCUGCGUGGAAGGGCCAUCGCUCAACGGAUAAAAGCUACCCUGGGGAUAACAGGCUUAUCUCCCCAAGAGUCCACAUCGACGGGGAGGUUUGGCACCUCGAUGUCGGCUCAUCACAUCCUGGGGCUGUAGUAGGUCCCAAGGGUUGGGCUGUUCGCCCAUUAAAGUGGUACGCGAGCUGGGUUCAGAACGUCGUGAGACAGUUCGGUCCCUAUCCGUCGCAGGCGUAGGAAAUUUGAGAAGACCUGUCCUUAGUACGAGAGGACCGGGAUGGACGUACCUCUGGUGUACCAGUUGUUCUGCCAAGGGCAUGGCUGGGUAGCUAUGUACGGAAUGGAUAAGCGCUGAAAGCAUCUAAGCGCGAAGCCAACUUCAAGAUAAGAUUUCCCACCGCAAGGGUAAGACCCCAGAAAGACUAUCUGGUUGAUAGGUCGAAGGUGUAAGUGCAGCAAUGUAUUUAGCUUAUCGAUACUAAUAGGUCGAGGACUUGACCAAU